CGUUGAAACACCGGUUCUCGUACGAUCAUCGAAGUUAAGCAACGUCGAGCCUUGGUCGGUAUUUAGAUGGGUGACCGCUAGGGAAUAACAGGCGAUGCAAG
rnacentral:rRNA from 1 species